rnacentral:lncRNA from 1 species
UCCAGAAAUAGGUUUUAUUCUCAGCCGAGGGACAGCAGGACUGGUAGAGACUGUCAGGCCACACGGCUGCCUGCACAGCACCCCCAUGCUUGGUAGGGGGCGGGAGGUAUGGCGGGGGCUGGCUGUCCACAGGCUGGGCAUGACAGGGAGGCUCACUGGAGGUGGCACACUUUAGAGGGGGAUGUCAGGGGACAGCGUUCUCUUGUAGUUGGGCCACAAGACUCCACAAGGACAGCACAGUGACUGAUUCCCAGCGCUAGAGGCGAGGCGGUCGGCCAUGUGUAGGUGUGUAUAUAUAUGAGUAUUUAUAGAUAUUUAUAGAACAGGGCAAGGGCAUACCACUGAAGGGGCACAAGUUUUCACCAAUGGUCACGCCUGGAGGUGUCAGCUCACCACUACAACAGACUAAGUCACAGAUGAAGGGGGCUGGCUUUGGGGCUAGGGAAGCCACUGUCAAGUCACAGAACAGCCGUCCAGGCAGGCUUGGAAAGGGAGGUCUCCGAGAAGAGGAGGGAUCUGUUUAGAGGUCGAAGGGGGGCCUGGGGCUCUCAGGACGGGAUGGACUUGCCUGACCCGAUCGGCUGGCAGUUGGAGAGAAAGCAAAGAGAAAACGGGAGAGAGAAAAUCGAGGAGAGAGCUGGUAAGGCAAGUGCAGCACACAGCCGGCUGGGGCGGGCCGCACCGCAGCAGGUGGGAGGGCCGGGGAGGGGAGGGUGCAGGUGUGGGUGUGGCAAGGUUCCUGGAAAAGAGGGGCUGGAAGGAAAAGGGGAGGAAGAUGGAGGGAGGAGCUGUAGCUUCACAGGUAUCGCCUGGGGGCUGUGGCGGCCCUCCCCACCCCACACACGCUGGCCUCUCACACAGCACCCAGGCAGGGCACCCACAGUUCAAGCUGAUGCUCGGCCCCCUUGGGCUUCCCUCUUCUCUGGUCACCCUGUCUUCCAACCCACCGGCCCAGGGCCACCCCUUGCCUUGGGGAGCCCCACGCAACAGCCACCAGGCCUGACAGAGAAAGAACACUGCUUGAACCAGGAGGGUGAAACUAAAAGGGAUGGCUGGAGGGAGCGCCAGAGGCCCUUCUGGGUGGUCAGAAAACCCAGGACCCUCUGAAAUGACCCUGGGGGAGGCAGGGAGGGCAGACAGCCGGAUGCCAGUGGCCAUAGACUUAUAAGUCUAAGAGGGGAGCCUCAGCUGGUCGGGGGGCUGCAGGUCGCGUAGGUGAGGCUGGGCCCUUCCUGCUGGGAAAAGCAGAAGAGCGAGAGUCAGUGGCCGGAGAAGGGGGGCGGGCUCACUGGGUGGAGCUCAGCAGGACCAGCAGGCACGGUCGUCCCCUUGGCUGAAUGGCACAAGUAACCCUAGGAGCAACAGGCCAAGGUGCAUGAGCCCGCUGGCUGGCUACGGUGCUUCAACUGGGGCCAGGGACACUGCCUUCAGUCACACGCUAGCAGCUAUGAUGGUACCUGGGAGGGAGGGAAGGGGGCUGUGUGUCCCUGCCUGGCCUGUGAGGUGUGUUGUGGGAUGACCAUGUGUAUGGGACUCUCAAGCUUUUACCCUAGAUCACCACUGGAUUGCCAGCAGAUAGAGGAGGUGGUACCCUGACUAUCACCCCUGCUCUGCAGUGGAGUUGGCUCUCAGCGCUGCCAGGCUGGGAGCUGGAUGCCUUACCCCAGGAGCAUGACUCUGACUGCACACCAGGCACGGUGUGCCCAGGAUGACAUUCCUAGACCUCUGGCCGCCUCACAGUCCAGCCCCACACACAACCCCCUCCAAGUUCCCAGCCUUUACACAAUAAACCACGAGCUCUCUGCCCUCUCUGAUGGCUCCAGAGAGCACCCAUGUCUGCCAGCUUGGGCACGGAGCCUGUUCCAAGAGUCCCCAGGCUCAGCCAUGGAGGCCUUGGGCAGUGGCACUGAGUCCCGAGGCUCGCUGGGAAGGGAGGUGAGAGAGCCAGCGGCACAAGGACAGAAAGAGGAAAGAGCAAGUGUACAGCUGCAGAAGGGAGGGGCGGGGAGCCUGGCUCUGAGGUCCCAGGUGCGUGCCCCGUGUGGAGCUAGUGCAGCGGGGCAGACACACCGUUCAUGCAGCAGGCGGUGAGGCAAUACCUACCAUGGCUGACGCUCCUCAGGGGUCACUGAUAGUGAUUCUGAAAGACAGCACGAAAUCAACAUGGCAGUUCACACGCACGGGUGGGACAGGCCUGGGGGUGGGGGACACACACACGCACACGCCCGGGCGUGCACACACAUGCUGUGAGGCCCCAUGGCCCACAUGCACACGCUAACACACAUGCCCACAAACAACACGCAUACGCCUCCUUCCCUGCCACCUCCCGGUGCCCAGCACCCUCACUGGCCGGCGGCACGUGCAGCACGGAUCUGGGGCAUGCAGCCACUCAGCACACUGAAGCACACGUGUGGGCAG